rnacentral:rRNA from 1 species
GACGAACGCUGGCGGCGUGGAUUAGGCAUGCAAGUCGAACGGUAUCAUCCUUUCGGGGGUGAGAGAGUGGCGAACUGGUGAGUAACACGUAGGUUAUCUACCCUCAAGACGGGGACAACCCAGGGAAACUUGGGCUAAUACCGGAUGUGAGCAACUUUUAGUUGUUUGAAAGGUGGCGUAAGCUGUCGCUUGGGGAUGAGCCUGCGUCCUAUUAGUUAGUUGGUGAGGUAACGGCUCACCUAGGCAAUGAUAGGUAGGCGGCCUUAACGGGUGGUCGCCCACACUGGGAUUGAGAUACGGCCCAGACUCCUACGGGAGGCAGCAGUCGAGAAUAGUCUACAAUGGUCGGAAGACUGAUAGUGCGACGCCGCGUGAACGAUGAAUCCCUUCGGGGUGUAAAAGUUCUUUUAUAUGUGAGCAGUGCUUCUUAUAUUAACAGUAUGGGGAAGAGAUAUUAGCAUAUGAAUAAGCAACGGCUAACUCCGUGCCAGCAGCCCGCGGUAAUA